rnacentral:rRNA from 1 species
UACGUAGGGUGCGAGCGUUAAUCGGAAUUACUGGGCGUAAAGCGUGCGCAGGCGGUUUUGUAAGUUUGUCGUGAAAGCCCCGGGCUCAACCUGGGAAUUGCGAUGAAGACUGCAAGGCUUGAAUCUGGCAGAGGGGGGUAGAAUUCCACGUGUAGCAGUGAAAUGCGUAGAGAUGUGGAGGAACACCGAUGGCGAAGGCAGCCCCCUGGGUCAAGAUUGACGCUCAUGCACGAAAGCGUGGGGAGCAAACAGG